CACACACACACACACACACACACACACACACACACACACACACACCCUUCCAUGGUGUGUUAGUGCUGCAUUCUCCUCUCGCCUGUCUGGAGUCCUUUAGACUGAGCAGGACCGACCACUGAGCUUGUUUGGGGCUCAGAGACGGGCAGUAGUGCUCUGUGCACUAGUAAUCAGAAGGUUCAAGCCCCACCACUGCCAAGCUGGCACUGUUGGGCCCCUGAGCAAGAUGUGUCAGCUUUUUGUUCAUUUCAUCUCGUCGUCAUCAUUCAGUCACACCUGGUGUGUCCUGCUGUCUCCGGUGGUUUUGGUUAGAAGGUGUAUUUUGACCUGUAACCACUUCAGUCUCCCACUUCUGUAUGUGAGGCAUUUCCAAACUCCAGUGGGCCAAGACUGAGGAGAAUGAGGAGAGAGGAGUCAGAAGCUUCACAUUCCAGACUGGAACACCACAGGACAUGCCUUUAUUCCUCUGGGACGUGGAAAGGCCUGAGAGCAGUGUGUGUGGACAUGUACGGGGACUGCGUGCGUGUAUGUAAGAAGAAACAGACCUGCAGGACAGCAGCAGUGGGGAGCUGCACUGUUUACAUUUAACUCAAAU